GAUGAAGAACGCAGCGAAAUGCGAUAAGUAAUGUGAAUUGCCGAAUUCAGUGAAUCAUCGAAUCUUUGAACGCACAUUGAGCCCGCCAGUAUUCUGGCGGGCAUGCCUGUUCGAGCGUCAUUUCAACCAUCAAGCCCUGCUUGCGUUGGGGUCCUGCGGCUGCCCGCAGGCCCUGAAAACCAGUGGCGGGCUCGCUAGUCACACCGAGCGCAGUAAUACAUCUCGCUUUGGGCGUGCGGCGGGUUCUUGCCGUUAAACACCCCCUUUUUACCAAGGUUGACCUCGGAUCAGGUAGGAAUACCCGAUGAACUUAAGCAUAUCAAUAAGCGGAGGA
rnacentral:misc_RNA from 1 species